GAUGAAGAACGUAGCGAAAUGCGAUAAGUAAUGUGAAUUGCAGAAUUCAGUGAAUCAUCGAAUCUUUGAACGCACAUUGCGCCCGCCAGCAUUCUGGCGGGCAUGCCUGUUCGAGCGUCAUUUCAACCCUCGAGCCCCCCCGGGGGCCUCGGUGUUGGGGGACGGCACACCAGCCGCCCCCGAAAUGCAGUGGCGACCCCGCCGCAGCCUCCCCUGCGUAGUAGCACACACCUCGCACCGGAGCGCGGAGGCGGUCACGCCGUAAAACCCCCAACUUUCUUAGAGUUGACCUCGGAUCAGGUAGGAAUACCCGCUGAACUUAAGCAUAUCAAUAAGCGGAGGA
rnacentral:misc_RNA from 1 species